UGGGGAAUAUUGCGCAAUGGGGGAAACCCUGACGCAGCAACGCCGCGUGAAGGAUGAAGGUUUUCGGAUUGUAAACUUCUUUGAUGGGGGACGAAUAAAUGACGGUACCCCAAAAACAAGCCACGGCUAACUACGUGCCAGCAGCCGCGGUAAUACGUAGGCGGCGAGCGUUGUCCGGAAUUACUGGGUGUAAAGGGCGUGUAGGCGGGAUUGUAAGUCAGAUGUGAAAUUCCAGAGCUUAACUCUGGCGCUGCAUCUGAAACUGCGAUUCUUGAGUGCUGGAGAGGAUAGCGGAAUUCCUAGUGUAGCGGUGAAAUGCGUAGAUAUUAGGAGGAACACCAGUGGCGAAGGCGGCUAUCUGGACAGUAACUGACGCUGAGGCGCGAAAGCGUGGGGAGCAAACAGG
rnacentral:rRNA from 1 species